GACGAACGCUGGCGGCGUGCCUAAUACAUGCAAGUUGAGCGCUGAAGGUUGGUACUUGUACCAACUGGAUGAGCAGCGAACGGGUGAGUAACGCGUGGGGAAUCUGCCUUUGAGCGGGGGACAACAUUUGGAAACGAAUGCUAAUACCGCAUAAAAACUUUAAACACAAGUUUUAAGUUUGAAAGAUGCAACUGCAUCACUCAAAGAUGAUCCCGCGUUGUAUUAGCUAGUUGGUGAGGUAAAGGCUCACCAAGGCGAUGAUACAUAGCCGACCUGAGAGGGUGAUCGGCCACAUUGGGACUGAGACACGGCCCAAACUCCUACGGGAGGCAGCAGUAGGGAAUCUUCGGCAAUGGACGAAAGUCUGACCGAGCAACGCCGCGGGAGUGAAGAAGGUUUUCGGAUCGUAAAACUCUGUUGGUAGAGAAGAACGUUGGUGAGAGUGGAAAGCUCAUCAAGUGACGGUAACUACCCAGAAAGGGACGGCUAACUACGUG
rnacentral:rRNA from 1 species